UCUCUCAUUUCCCAUAUGCCUCUCGCUAGAUUUCAUUGUGCUUGCAUCAGUGCUUGCACCUGUUGCUUCUCUCAUUCUCGCGAAACAUCGCCAUCAAACCAUACCUCGAGUUCUCUCUCCUACAACAACCACAGUUCUUCACAUAUCCACCUUUUCUCCUCACAUUUCUACCUUAUUUAAGCUAUUUCGGCCUUAGAAACACCAUCUUCACCGAUGAGUUCUUCGAUCUAUGGCCUCCGCUAGGGUUUCCCUCAUCUUUCAUCUUUUUCUUUGAUUUUAACCGUUUAAAUCCUCUUUUGCUUCGAUUAAACACUUUUCACCGUUUAAUCGGUUAACCUAGUGUUUUAAGGUUCUUUCACCGUUCGAUUUAGGGUAUCCUUGCUUCAUUUACAGUUUUGGUUCAUUUGCUCUUGGAUUCAUAUCAUUCCGCUGCGUUUCACCCCUUUUGUUGAUUUGAACUUAGAAUACAGAUGUUCACUUCAAUACUUAAGUAUUUGUGGUUUGAUCAUAUAUAUAUUUGCAGGUUGAAGGUGAGGUCCAACGAUUAAAUGUUGCAAAGUCAGUAAGAUGAAACAUUUGAUGUUUAAGAGGCAGAAUGAGCUUAAAGAAUUUUACAGAGGCCCCUCGCUCUAGAGUGCACCGGAGCUUCUCUACUUAUGGUUUGAAGGAAUUACAGAGUUUCCUUGAUAACUUGGGUAGCUGCACCGAACAUGGCAUGGACCUUUCGGGUUCUCCUUCCUCCGUGCUUAGUCUCUUUUUGGCUUCUCCUUCCUCUCUAUUUGUUAAGGUUGGAGAUGUAUGAAGUGGUGCGAAGAUGCAACUUAUAUCUGCACUCAUAAGAUAGGUGGGAAUGGACACGUUAAUUUUCUAAUUAGGCAGAUGAUCCAAACAUCCUGAAACAAGUUAUAGUUUAGUGAUCUAUAGCACUUGAUACUUAACUUUGUCUGCUUGCAGUUAUGGGUAUACAACUUUUUAUUUGUAAACAACACAUAGUUCAGACAUUUAAAGUAAACCUGAAUUUAACAGUAGUGCCUCAAAGUGAAACAAGGUUAGUAUGCCUCAAAGUGAAACAAGGUUAGUAUGAUUGUAUAUUUGGUAUAAUUGGAUAAGGUAUGAUUGUAUAUCUGGUAUAAUUGGAUAAGGUAUGAUUGUAUUUAUUUUUGGUCUAAUAGAAGGAUAAAUAAAUGGGGUUCUGGUGUUAAUAAACUCUUGCAAUUUUUAUUUUAAUGAAUAUUAAAAUGACAAUUUGCUCCUCUGAUAAAUACUAAUUUGAUUCUGAUGUUAAUAACUUUAACUACUUUAUAAAUUUUUGCUAUUUUUGUUAUUAUAUCACGCAUUAUUAUAUUAUAAAAUUGUGACUUAUAAAUACUUAAUUUGAAAAUUUAUUUUCUCUUAUGGUGUGACAGGAUAUAAUUCAUUACUACCAAAAAUAAAUAAUAAUUUAUACUAAUAGUCAUUCAAGACAUGAAUUGCAUACUAGGUAGUAAUUACUAGUUUCUAAACCAUUUUCAUGUGGGCCAUUCCAUUAGAACGUUCAGUAAAGAAUAAUAAUUUUAUUCAAUUACUUUUUUACAGUAAUGUUUUAAUUUAUCAAUGACUUUGGUCUCCAACUAUAUAAAGCCCAGAACCCCAUUCUUCGUCAUUGUUUGUUUUGAAAUAUAACCUUUUUCUAUUUCCAAAAAAACAUUAUAUAUACCAGAUAAUAUGUGUUUUUCUUAUACAAUAGGCUCCAGGACCAUAAUGACCGAAGCUUGUGCAGUAAGGAUUUGGUUGAUGAGGCUUCAAAGAGAAAGAGUGGAGACAAUUUGUCAGUUGUGAUUUGCUUCCAGCAGCAACCUCCUCCCAACUUGGUGGCCCCUCGGUCUAGAGUGCACUGGAGCUUCUCUGCUUAAGGUUUGAAGGAGUUGUAGAGUUUUCUUGAUAACUUGGAUAAUUUUAGGAUUAAAAUCCUUACAGGCAUUUUCUCAUCCUUUAAUCCAAUAAUUGUCCCUAAACAAAGGAAUGUUUCUGAUGGUCCUUGCAACAAGCUGUUAGAAUUUAUUGCUAACACAAGCUUGCUAUAAAAAGUGUUAGUCAACAACAUGCCCAACUUUCAACUGGUUGCCAUUAUGAGGUUUUUGGACAUGUAGUUAGUCCCAGGAAAUGACAAGAUGGUGAAAGAAAGUCAAAGGUAAGUUAUUUCUUGACAACAUGGAAUUAGAAAUAAUACGUUUUCUUGACAUUUCACAGACAGAAUUGGGAUAUAAAGAUAUUUGAUAAGGUUCUUGGUUGCUUUGUUUAUUUUAUGCUUAUGGGUUAUGGCACAUGGAUGUUUAAAUUUUGUAUAGGUCUUUGGAUGUUUAAAUUUUGUAUAGGUCUUUGGAAGCUCAUUCAAGGUUGUGGGAGUAUUCCAUCUUUAAUGAUUCAUCUCCCAUGAUGCUGCUGCAGACAUUGAAGACAUUAGAAGUAACUGGGCUUCUUUUAUUUUAAGUGGUAGUAGAAACGGUUACAAUUAAAUAGUGUAUGUACAUUAAUGUAAUAUUUAGAUUUAAUAUAUAGCUUCAUGUAUAAAUGAUGUAUUAAAUAUUAGACUAUUUAAUAUUUGAAAUAAAUUCUAUUUUGUUAGUUUCAUUAAA